GCUGAAGGAAGAAAUUUUGAGUAAUCUUGUGGUCUGACUCGAAUUAAGAAGUUAAGCAAUGGAGCAGCAUCCCAGUUCUGUCCUUGUUGCUAGUUGCAGCUACUAAGUCUUCAGCUCCAGCUGAAAACAACACCAACUAGAUUUGCAAUGAAUAUCUAGCUUGCAUGUGCCACACAAGCUGGUGGCAUUGAACCAGCUUCAUGACGUUAAUUUCUUGGUUCCAAGUGCCUGUCAGCUGCCUGUUACAUCGCGGGAAGGCCUUGCAAGCCUCUGAAAAUUGACAACAGCUGAGGGAUCUCUAUUAUUUUCAAUUCUGCAAAUGCAACGCGGAUUUUGCUUCCCUUUUCAACUCGUACGCACCACAUACCUUAUUUCGUUAAAAUUUCCCAGACUGCUUUUCAUCAAUCCGAACUUUUUCUAAUGCUAAAAGUACUGGGGUGGCAUAAGAUUUCCAUACCCAAGCAUCAUUCUAAAAUUAAUGGCUCCAUCAAGAUGUCAACUGGCAGUCUCAAGGAUCUACAUGCAGCAGAAGCACUGAGUCAAAUGUAAAGAAUACCUCCGGAGAAGGAAAAAAACAAAAGAAACUGAUUAAAUGAACCUGCAUGCGAGUAUUGGUUAAACGAGACUGCCGCACCAGUCACCAGCGUGCCUCUCAAUGCCAUGAUACAGGACAAAGAAAAGGUUUUAGAUAAACGAAAACUUUAUCAGGGAACAAAGUUAUUAACCCUUUGUGAUUUCCAGUGCAUUCAUCAAAACUUGCCAAGAAAUUUGACUGUCAAUCUUCUGGCACGCAAGUUCAAGAGAAAAAAUUAAAUACAAAAUGAAUCCUCAAGUUCCCAGAGUGCACUAUACAAGCACCACCCCUCUCUUAUGUUUUGAAACAGAAGAGUGAUACUUGACACAAAAUCUUUCACUUUCACUGUUAAAAAGAUAUACAACUUGGCCAAGAUGUCUGGAUCCAACAAGUCUUCGGGUAUACCAGGUGGUGGUGAUGCAACCAAAGCUCCUGCAAUUGGAGCUACUGUCACUGGUUCUGUCACUGGCUCAGGAAAAGAUGGGACCAUGAAAGCUCCUGGUCAAGACGUUCGCAUAUCUAGGGAUGCUUUUGAGAAAAACCCUUCUGGAUAUUUUCAUGACUUGCACAUGAAGUAGAAGAUGUGGAGUCUGCCUUUAAGUCAAAAGAAUAAAUAAAAUGUUGCAAUGGUUGUUCUUUCUUUCAAUGCUAAUGAAAUUUAAAAUGCUGCAUGCUAGCAGCACUUAU